CGCCUCUUGAAACUACAUAAGAGGUCCAGCCUGCCCAGUGACUAAGUUCAACGGCCGCGGUAUCCUAACCGUGCGAAGGUAGCGUAAUCACUUGUUCUUUAAAUGAGGACUAGUAUGAAUGGCACCACGAGGGUUAUGCUGUCUCCUUUUUCUAAUCAAUGAAACUGAUCUCCCCGUGAAGAAGCGGGGAUAUAUCUAUAAGACGAGAAGACCCUAUGGAGCUUUAAAUCAUGUAACACUGGCUUUCACAUUAAAAUAUUCCAGAAUUUUCAUAAUUACUCUAGCCACUAUGAUUACUAGUUUUAGGUUGGGGUGACCACGGAGCAAAAAUUAACCUCCAUGUUGAACGGAGCUACUCCUGAGCCAAAAGCCACGACUUUAAGCACUAAUAAAUUAACAUUAAUUGACCCAAUAUUUUUGAUCAACGAACCAAGUUACCCUAGGGAUAACAGCGCA
rnacentral:rRNA from 1 species